ACCUCAAUCGACCGUUCGGUUAGACUUGUUGCGCGCGGUCGCAACGUAUGUUGAACACGCGUUUCUCUCUGGAUAUAUUAUUUAAGAGCUUAAGAGGGAUAAUAACCAGUGCGGCAGACUCGACUUGCUAAUUGACUAAAAACUAUUGUGCGUUUGCCGUUGCACGCCUUGGCUCUCGAGCGAACUAUCACCGCAUACAGGCGACAGGCACCAUUCGCGUAAAUAACGAGCGGAAUGAACCGAGCGAAAGGCAAGUGUUCUGCAUUUACAACGGAUAGCCUUGCCGUGCCUAAAACGGAUAUUUAUCUCUAUUAAUAUCUUCAAUCAGCCUCAAGUUACACGUGUAUGUACCAGGCGUACGAGUAAUUUGCAACUUUGCCAGGUUUCUCUACUUUCCACUCCGGAGCGGAGCUGAUCAGCAGCGGCCCGCGUAAGGCUGAUGGCAGAGAACGAACUGUAAACGCUUAAAGGCCGAAUCAGACUAGCAACUGUCGACGCGGAUUGGAUUGGGAUUGACGACUGGCGAUUUUCUUCUAGUCAAUGAGAGUCGAUUACAUCGCUUGCUGCUUUGCUCUCAUUGGUUAGAGGGCAAUCAAUCGCAAUUAAUUGCCAGUCUGAUUUGGUCUUAAGACUCGGGACCGCUAAAGACACGCGUGCGACAAAGCGCACGGAUGAAGAGGGCGAAGGCACGAUCGCGCGGGAUUCCGGCUCGCAUUUUGCCCGCGAGAUCUUCGAAUAACCCUGCCGCUAGAAAGUGAAUCUCCGCCGUACUUUCAACGCCGUUCGGGACCGAAGCUUCGGGGGACGCUAUGACGCAUAGGUGCAGCGCAACUGGAGGAUGAGCUCACGAGAUGCCGCGGACCCUCCCGAGGCCGAAAUAGGAUUUUACGGCUGCCGCAGGUGCCGUCUAUUCCCAGUUCUAAAGCAAAUAGCGCGUCGCAUCCAUUACGGUCGACACCGCGGCGUACGAGGAUAAGAACGGAGAAUGAGACGCGCGCAAAGUGGGGAAAUUUUGAAUUCCGCCGGCAGUUCUUGUCCGCUUUCAUCUCCGUGCGUUCAACUUCUUUCUCUGAGAUGCACUAAAAAUAUAUCUUACUAACGCAGGUAGAUUUCUAGGUGUCGUAACGAAAGUUUGUCGUUAUUUUUCGUUAGAAGUCUGUUAGAAAAUUGUUUGUAGCCUGCAAAAUUUAUAGCAGCAACAUUCUAGUAAUACCUUCUGG